rnacentral:rRNA from 1 species
CGGCAACAGCUCAAAUUUGAAAUCUGGUCACCUUACGGAGGCCCGAGUUGUAAUUUGAAGAGGAUGCUUUUGGCGAGGUGCCUUCCGAGUGCCCUGGAACGGGACGCCACAGAGGGUGAGAGCCCCGUAUGGUUGGACACCGAGCCUAUGUAAAGCUCCUUCGACGAGUCGAGUAGUUUGGGAAUGCUGCUCAAAAUGGGAGGUAAACCCCUUCUAAAGCUAAAUAUUGGCCAGAGACCGAUAGCGCACAAGUAGAGUGAUCGAAAGAUGAAAAGCACUUUGAAAAGAGAGUUAAACAGCACGUGAAAUUGUUGAAAGGGAAGCGCUUGCGACCAGACUUGCGCCCGUCGGAUCAACCGUCGCUUGUCGGCGGCGCACUCCGGCGGGCUCAGGCCAGCAUCAGUUUUCCCGGGGGGAGAAAGGCGGUGGGAAUGUAGCUCCUAGGAGUGUUAUAGCCCGCCGCGUAAUACCCUCGGGGGGACUGAGGACCGCGCAU